rnacentral:rRNA from 1 species
GGGUUGUGAGGUUAAGCGACUAAGCGUACACGGUGGAUGCCCUGGCAGUCAGAGGCGAUGAAGGACGUGCUAAUCUGCGAUAAGCGUCGGUAAGGUGAUAUGAACCGUUAUAACCGGCGAUUUCCGAAUGGGGAAACCCAGUGUGAUUCGUCACACUAUCAUUAACUGAAUCCAUAGGUUAAUGAGGCGAACCGGGGGAACUGAAACAUCUAAGUACCCCGAGGAAAAGAAAUCAACCGAGAUUCC